AAUGUACUCCCUCCGUCCGGAAAUACUUGUCGGAGAAAUGGAUGUAUGUAGACAUAUUUUAGUUCUAGAUACAUUCAUUUUUAUCCAUUUCUGCGACAAGUAAUUUCGGACCGAGGGAGUACCAA
rnacentral:pre_miRNA from 1 species